rnacentral:misc_RNA from 1 species
AACGCACGAGACCUGCGGACCUGCGGAGGGAUCAUUAACGAUUUCGGUGUAAAAAACCGUUUUCUACCUAUGUCUACGCGUACCACUUGUUUCCUCGGGGGGCUUGCCCCCCGCUAGGACCCUUUAUCAAACCUUUUUGUAAUAGCAGUCAGCGUCUGAUACUACGUUAAUUAUUAAAACUUUUAACAACGGAUCUCU